rnacentral:rRNA from 1 species
CAUGCAAGUCGAACGAGGAUAUACCUUUCGGGGUAUAAACCGAGUGGCGCAAGGGUGAGUAAUGCAUAGAUUACCUGCCUCUAGGAUAAGGACAACUUUGUGAAAACGAAGCUAAUACUUAAUAAUACAAGAGAGAAUAAUUCUUUUUUGUCAAUGGGAGGGUAGCAAUACCUUUUGCCUAGAGAGGGGUUUAUGUCCUAUCAGCUUGUUGGUGGGGUAAUGGCCUACCAAGGCGAAGACGGGUAGCCGGUCUUAGAGGAUGGUCGGCCACACUGGGACUGAGACACUGCCCAGACUUCUACGGAAGGCUGCAGUCGAGAAUCUUUCGCAAUGCCCGAAAGGGUGACGAAGCGACGCCGCGUGAGUGAGGAAGGCCUUCGGGUUGUAAAGCUCUGUCAGGUGUUAAGAAAUAUAAGUGUGCUAAUACCACAUUUAUUUGACAAAGGCGCCAAAGGAAGCCACGGCUAACUCUGUGCCAGCAGCCGCGGUAAUACAGAGGUGGCAAGCGUUGUUCGGAAUUAUUGGGCGUAAAGAGCACGUAGGUGGGUUCGUAAGUCAGAUGUGAAAGCCUUCUGUUCAACGGAAGAAUUGCAUCUGAAACUGCGAGUCUUGAGUGUAGGAGGGGAGAAUGGAACUUCUGGUGGAGCGGUGAAAUGCGUAGAUAUCAGAAGGAACGCCGGCGGCGAAAGCGAUUCUCUGGCCUAUUACUGACACUCAGUGUGCGAAAGCUAGGGGAGCAAGCGGGAUUAGAUACCCCGGUAGUCCUAGCUGUAAACGAUGGGCACUAAGUAGAGGGAAUUACCGAUGUUCUCUCUGCCGUAGCUAACGCAUUAAGUGCCCCGCCUGGGGAGUACGGCCGCAAGGCUAAAACUCAAAAGAAUUGACGGGGGCUCGCACAAGCGGUGGAGCAUGUGGCUUAAUUCGAUGCAACGCGAAAAACCUUACCGGGGCUUGACAUGGUAGAAGUAGGAACCCGAAAGGGUAACGAACGGUAUCCAGUCCGUAGCUAUCACAGGUGUUGCAUGGCUGUCGUCAGCUCGUGUCGUGAGACGUUGGGUUAAGUCCCCUAACGAGCGAAACCCUUGUUUUUAGUUACCAGCGGGUUAUGCCGGGUACUCUAGAAAGACUGCCGUCGUCAAGACGGAGGAAGGUGGGGAUGACGUCAAGUCAUCAUGGCCCUUAUGCCCCGGGCUGCACACGUGCUACAAUGGUCGGUACAAACGGAAGCGAAGCCGAGAGGUGGAGCGAAUCCUAAAAAGCCGAUCUCAGUUCGGAUUGGAGGCUGAAAUUCGCCUCCAUGGAGUUGGAAUCGCUAGUAAUCGCGGAUCAGCAUUGCCGCGGUGAAUAUGUUCCCGAGCCUUGUACACACCGCCCGUCAAGCCACCCAAGCAGGAUGCACCCGAAAACAUUAUAUCUAACCAGGUUUACCUGGAGGAAAGUGUUGAAGGAGUGUUUUGUGAGGAGGACUAAGUCGUAACAAGGUAGUCGUAGGAGAACCUGCGGCUGGAUCACCUCCUUUCU